rnacentral:antisense_RNA from 1 species
AAUUAUGGUGGGCUGGACAAUGGGCGCUUUUAGCGCGCCGCGUCCGUGUGAGCGGUAGUACCAACCUUGUUCAGUUCACCACCCAU